UUUCCGUAGGUGAACCUGCGGAAGGAUCAUUAAAGAGAUAGGGUCUUCAUGGCCCGACCUCCAACCCUCUGUUGUUAAAACUACCUUGUUGCUUUGGCGGGACCGUCUCGGUCUCCGAGCGCACUAACCCUCGGGUUGGUGAGCGCCCGCCAGAGUCCAACCAAACUCUUGUAUUAAACCAGUCGUCUGAGUAUAAAAUUUUAAUUAAAUUAAAACUUUCAACAACGGAUCUCUUGGUUCUCGCAUCGAUGAAGAACGCAGCGAAAUGCGAUAAGUAAUGUGAAUUGCAGAAUUCAGUGAAUCAUCGAAUCUUUGAACGCACAUUGCGCCCCUUGGUAUUCCGAGGGGCAUGCCUGUUCGAGCGUCAUUACACCACUCAAGCAUCGCUUGGUAUUGGGAACGGUCCGUCGAAAGGCGGGCCUUCCUCGAAGACCUCGGCGGGGUUCAACCAACUUCGGGCGUAGUAGAGUUAAAUCGAACGUCUUAUAAGCUUGGUCGGAUCUCAUUGCCGUUAAACCUUUAAAUUUUCUAGGUUGACCUCGGAUCAGGUAGGGAUAC
rnacentral:rRNA from 1 species